GCAUUGAUAGCUUAAUUCUUAGAGCAUAGCACUGAAGAUGCUAGGGUGGCAAAUAUUGUCUCAAAGCG
rnacentral:tRNA from 1 species